rnacentral:tRNA from 1 species
UCCCUGGUGGCUCAAAUGGUAAAGCAUCUGCCUACAAUGCAGGAGACCCAGGUUUGAUCCCUGGGUUGGGAA